GGCGGCAGGCCUAAACAUGCAAGUCGAACGGUAGCACAGGGAGCUUGCUCUCGGGUGACGAGUGGCGGACGGGUGAGUAAUGUCUGGGAAACUGCCUGAUGGAGGGGGAUAACUACUGGAAACGGUAGCUAAUACCGCAUAACGUCGCAAGACCAAAGAGGGGGACCUUCGGGCCUCUUGCCAUCAGAUGUGCCCAGAUGGGAUUAGCUAGUAGGUGGGGUAACGGCUCACCUAGGCGACGAUCCCUAGCUGGUCUGAGAGGAUGACCAGCCACACUGGAACUGAGACACGGUCCAGACUCCUACGGGAGGCAGCAGUGGGGAAUAUUGCACAAUGGGCGCAAGCCUGAUGCAGCCAUGCCGCGUGUAUGAAGAAGGCCUUCGGGUUGUAAAGUACUUUCAGCGGGGAGGAAGGUGUUGAGGUUAAUAACCUCGUCAAUUGACGUUACCCGCAGAAGAAGCACCGGCUAACUCCGUGCCAGCAG
rnacentral:rRNA from 1 species